rnacentral:rRNA from 1 species
CGGGGUGGAGUAACGCGUGGAUAACCUGCCUCACACUGGGGGAUAACAGUUAGAAAUGACUGCUAAUACCGCAUAAGCGCACAGUACCGCAUGGUACAGUGUGAAAAACUCCGGUGGUGUGAGAUGGAUCCGCGUCUGAUUAGCCAGUUGGCGGGGUAACGGCCCACCAAAGCGACGAUCAGUAGCCGACCUGAGAGGGUGACCGGCACAUUGGGACUGAGACACGGCCCAA